rnacentral:rRNA from 1 species
UACGGAGGAGGCAAGCGUUAUCCGGAAUUAUUGGGCGUAAAGCGUCCGCAGGUGGCACUUCAAGUCUGUCGUCAAAGAUUGGGGCUUAAUCCUGGAAAGGCGGUGGAAACUGAAGUGCUAGAGUGCGGUAGGGGUAGAGGGAAUUCCCGGUGUAGCGGUGAAAUGCGUAGAGAUCGGGAAGAACAUCGGUGGCGAAAGCGCUCUACGGGACCGCAACUGACACUCAGGGACGAAAGCUAGGGGAGCGAAUGGG